UGAGGAAUAUUGGACAAUGGGCGCAAGCCUGAUCCAGCCAUGCCGCGUGCAGGAAGACGGCCCUAUGGGUUGUAAACUGCUUUUAUUUGGGAAGAAACCCCGGGACGUGUCCCGGGCUGACGGUACCAAACGAAUAAGCACCGGCUAACUCCGUGCCAGCAGCCGCGGUAAUACGGAGGGUGCAAGCGUUAUCCGGAAUUAUUGGGUUUAAAGGGUCCGUAGGCGGACCUUUAAGUCAGUGGUGAAAUCCUUCGGCUCAACCGGAGAACUGCCAUUGAAACUGAAGGUCUUGAAUAUAGUUGAAGUGGGCGGAAUAUGGCAUGUAGCGGUGAAAUGCUUAGAUAUGCCAUAGAACACCGAUAGCGAAGGCAGCUCACUAAGUUAUUAUUGACGCUAAUGGACGAAAGCGUGGGGAGCGAACA
rnacentral:rRNA from 1 species